rnacentral:rRNA from 1 species
AGUGAACGCUGGCGGCAGGCCUAACACAUGCAAGUCGAACGGCAGCACAGUAAGAGCUUGCUCUUACGGGUGGCGAGUGGCGGACGGGUGAGGAAUACAUCGGAUUCUACUUUUUCGUGGGGGAUAACGUAGGGAAACUUAUGCUAAUACCGCAUAUGACCUACGGGUGAAAGCAGGGGUUCUUCGGACUUUGCGCGAUUGAAUGAGCCGAUGUCGGAUUAGCUAGUUGGCGGGGUAAAGGCCCACCAAGGCGACGAUCCGUAGCUGAUCUGAGAGGAUGAUCGGCCACACUGGAACUGAGACACGGUCCAGACUCCUACGGGAGGCAGCAGUAGGGAAUCUUAGGCAAUGGGCGAAAGCCUGAUCCAGCAAUACCGCGUGGGUGAUGAAGGCCUUCGGGUUGUAAAGCCCUUUUGUUGGGAAAGAAAAGCAGCAGGUUAAUACCCCGCUAUUCUGACGGUACCCAAAGAAUAAGCACCGGCUAACUUCGUG